rnacentral:rRNA from 1 species
UACGGAGGGUGCGAGCGUUGUCCGGAAUCGCUGGGCGUAAAGGGCGCGUAGGUGGCGCGGGCAGUCAACGGUGAAAGUUCGGGGCUCAACCCUGAAUCGGCCGUCGAUACUCCCGUGCUUGAGCACUGUAGAGGCAGAUGGAAUUCCGGGUGUAGCGGUGGAAUGCGUAGAGAUCCGGAAGAACACCGGUGGCGAAGGCGGUCUGCUGGGCAGUAGCUGACACUGAGGCGCGACAGCGUGGGGAGCAAACAGG